rnacentral:rRNA from 1 species
CCCGGGUCUUGUACACACCGCCCGUCACAUCACGAAAGUGAGCAACGUCCGAAGCCUGCCUUAUGGCGGUCCACGAUGGGGCUCAUGAUUGGGGUG